rnacentral:rRNA from 1 species
GGGGAAUAUUGCACAAUGGGGGAAACCCUGAUGCAGCGACGCCGCGUGGAGGAAGAAGGUCUUCGGAUUGUAAACUCCUGUUGUUGAGGAAGAUAAUGACGGUACUCAACAAGGAAGUGACGGCUAACUACGUGCCAGCAGCCGCGGUAAAACGUAGGUCACGAGCGUUGUCCGGAAUUACUGGGUGUAAAGGGAACGCAGGCGGGCGAUCAAGUUGGAAGUGAAAUCCAUGGGCUCAACCCAUGAACUGCUUUCAAAACUGGUCGUCUUGAGUAGUGCAGAGGUAGGCGGAAUUCCCGGUGUAGCGGUGGAAUGCGUAGAUAUCGGGAGGAACACCAGUGGCGAAGGCGGCCUACUGGGCACCAACUGACGCUGAGGCUCGAAAGUGUGGGUAGCAAACAGGAUUAGAUACCCUGGUAGUCCACACCGUAAACGAUGAUUACUAGGUGUUGGGAGAUUGACCCUCUCAGUGCCGCAGUUAACACAAUAAGUAAUCCACCUGGGGAGUACGACCGCAAGGUUGAAACUCAAAGGAAUUGACGGGGGCCCGCACAAGCAGUGGAGUAUGUGGUUUAAUUCGACGCAACGCGAAGAACCUUACCAAGUCUUGACAUCCUCUGACGAACGUAGAAAUACGUUUUCUCUUCGGAGCAGAGAGACAGGUGGUGCAUGGUUGUCGUCAGCUCGUGUCGUGAGAUGUUGGGUUAAGUCCCGCAACGAGCGCAACCCUUAUGGUCAGUUACUACGCAAGAGGACUCUGGCCAGACUGCCGUUGACAAAACGGAGGAAGGUGGGGAUGACGUCAAAUCAUCAUGCCCUUUAUGACUUGGGCUACACACGUACUACAAUGGCGUUAAACAAAGAGAAGCAAGACCGCGAGGUGGAGCAAAACUCAGAAACAACGUCCCAGUUCGGACUGCAGGCUGCAACUCGCCUGCACGAAGUCGGAAUUGCUAGUAAUCGUGGAUCAGCAUGCCACGGUGAAUACGUUCCCG